rnacentral:rRNA from 1 species
UACAGAGGUCUCAAGCGUUGUUCGGAUUCAUUGGGCGUAAAGGGUGCGUAGGUGGCGGGGUAAGUCAGGUGUGAAAUCUCGAGGCUCAACCUCGAAACUGCACUUGAUACUGCCUUGCUCGGGUACUGGAGAGGAGAUUGGAAUUUACGGUGUAGCAGUGAAAUGCGUAGAUAUCGUAAGGAAGACCAGUGGCGAAGGCGAAUCUCUGGACAGUUACUGACACUGAGGCACGAAGGCCAGGGGAGCAAACGGG